rnacentral:rRNA from 1 species
UACGAAGGGUGCAAGCGUUACUCGGAAUUACUGGGCGUAAAGGGCGCGUAGGCGGAUUUUUAAGUCAGGGGUGAAAUCCCAAGGCUCAACCUUGGAACUGCCUUUGAUACUGGGGAUCUUGAGUCCGGGAGAGGUGAGUGGAACUGCGAGUGUAGAGGUGAAAUUCGUAGAUAUUCGCAAGAACACCAGUGGCGAAGGCGGCUCACUGGUCCGGUACUGACGCUGAGGUGCGAAAGCGUGGGGAGCAAACAGG